UACGGGGGGGGCAAGCGUUUGUUCGGAAUUACUGGGCGUAAAGGGCUCGUAGGCGGCCAACUAAGUCGGACGUGAAAUCCCUCGGCUCAACCGGGGAACUGCGUCCGAUACUGGCAGGCUUGAAUCCGGGAGAGGGAUGUGGAAUUCCAGGUGUAGCGGUGAAAUGCGUAGAUAUCUGGAGGAACACCAGAGGCGAAGGCGGCGACCUGGAUAGGUACUGACACUCAACUACGAAAGCGUGGGGGAGCAAACAGG
rnacentral:rRNA from 1 species